GACGAACGCUGGCGGCGUGCUUAACACAUGCAAGUCGAGCGGAGCGGCGAACGGGUGAGUAAGGCGUGAGUAACUGCCCCCCUCUCUGGGAUAACAGUUGGAAACGGCUGCUAAUACCGGAUAGUGGGGGAUGACUCGCGUCCUAUCAGCUUGUUGGUGGGGUAGUGGCCUACCAAGGCGACGACGGGUAGCCGGCCUGGGAGGGCGACCGGCCACAUUGGGCUGAGGUACGGCCCAAACGCCUACGGGAGGCAGUGGUGGGGAAUCUGGCACAGUGGGGGAAACCCUGAUGCAGCAACGCCGCGGGCGGGAUGUCGGCCUUCGGGUUGUAAACCGCUUUCAGCCAUGACGCGGUAGUGGCAGAAGAAGCACCGGCUAACUACGUGCCAGCAGCCGCGGUAAUUC
rnacentral:rRNA from 1 species